rnacentral:rRNA from 1 species
UGGAAACUNUCUGACUUGAGUGCAGAAGGGGAGAGUGGAAUUCCAUGUGUAGCGGUGAAAUGCGUAGAUAUAUGGAGGANCACCAGUGGCGAAAGCGGCUCUCUGGUCUGUCACUGACGCUGAGGCUCGAAAGCGUGGGUAGCGAACAGGAUUAGAUACCCUGGUAGUNCACGCCGUAAACGAUGAGUGCUAGGUGUUAGGCCCUUUCCGGGGCUUAGUGCCGGAGCUAACGCAAUAAGCACUCCGCCUGGGGAGUACGACCGCAAGGUUGAAACUCAAAGGAAUUGACGGGGGCCCGCACAAGCGGUGGAGCAUGUGGUUUAAUUCGAAGCAACGCGAAGAACCUUACCAGGUCUUGACAUCCCGAUGCUAUUCUUAGAGAUAGGAAGUUACUUCGGUACAUCGGAGACAGGUGGUGCAUGGUUGUCGUCAGCUCGUGUCGUGAGAUGUUGGGUUAAGUCCCGCAACGAGCGCAACCCUUAUUGUUAGUUGCCAUCAUUAAGUUGGGCACUCUAGCGAGACUGCCGGUAAUAAACCGGAGGAAGGUGGGGACGACGUCAAAUCAUCAUGCCCCUUAUGACCUGGGCUACACACGUGCUACAAUGGUCGGUACAACGAGUUGCGAGCCGGUGACGGCAAGCUAAUCUCUGAAAGCCGAUCUCAGUUCGGAUUGGAGGCUGCAACUCGCCUCCAUGAAGUCGGAAUCGCUAGUAAUCGCGGAUCAGCACGCCGCGGUGAAUACGUUCCCGGGCCUUGUACACACCGCCCGUCACACCACGAGAGUUUGUAACACCCGAAGUCGGUGAGGUAACCUUUUAGGAGCCAGCCGCCUAAGGUGGGAUAG